GGUGGCUCAGUAGUAGAGUGUUUGCCUUGCAUGCAUGAGGCCCUGGGUUCAAUUCCUCAGCACCA
rfam:Dipodomys ordii contig_25224, whole genome shotgun sequence.